GCAAACUGUAGUUCUAUUGCAGGGUAGACAGUAUGUUGCACCAAGCACCAGAAACUAUGUACAUUUCGUUCAGCAGCAAGCCAUUUUUACAUAUAACAUUGGCAUUCUGCACACCUAUCACAUCCCUGUGCCCAACCCACAGGUUUCUUUUCAAUAUAAAUUUAUUGAACUGUACAUGAAGCUGCACAAGGUUGAUGGCAGGCUAUUUACAGGAUGUCUUACAAUUGCUUUCUCACUGUUCCGGAGGAAAGCUUACCAAACUGGGAAGUGCAGUUGACUGAAGCAUCUUGAUUUCUGAUGUAGUCAACUUGCAAAAGGAUAAUGAGCGUAAAUUAAAGGUUUCAGAUACCGCAACCCCUCAUUGGUUACAAGAGAUUUAAAAUAUUCAUCGACCAAUUCUGCCAAUCCUGCAUUACAUGAAAAACAAGUGCACAAGUCAAUUUGGUCAAUCUCAGAGUUAAGGGAAGUUGAACUUUAACUGAGUGCGAAGCUGAGUCUAGCAGGCGAGCGACAUGACUCUCCUCCUCAAGCCCUCCUUUGGUUCCGCCACUGCUAUCCCAUCUCAAGUCAUAAGAAAAUACAUUAACAUUGUUUUAUUAAAAGAGUAUAGAGAAUUAUUUUUUGCUUUUUUUUUUUUAAUUUUGG
rnacentral:misc_RNA from 1 species